rnacentral:rRNA from 1 species
GAUGAACGCUGGCGGCGUGCCUAAUACAUGCAAGUCGAGCGAACGGACGAGAAGCUUGCUUCUCUGAUGUUAGCGGCGGACGGGUGAGUAACACGUGGAUAACCUACCUAUAAGACUGGGAUAACUUCGGGAAACCGGAGCUAAUACCGGAUGAUAUUUUGAACCGCAUGGUUCAAAAGUGAAAGACGGUCUUGCUGUCACUUAUAGAUGGAUCCGCGCUGCAUUAGCUAGUUGGUAAGGUAACGGCUUACCAAGGCAACGAUGCAUAGCCGACCUGAGAGGGUGAUCGGCCACACUGGAACUGAGACACGGUCCAGACUCCUACGGGAGGCAGCAGUAGGGAAUCUUCCGCAAUGGGCGAAAGCCUGACGGAGCAACGCCGCGUGAGUGAUGAAGGUCUUCGGAUCGUAAAACUCUGUUAUUAGGGAAGAACAUAUGUGUAAGUAACUAUGCACGUCUUGACGGUACCUAAUCAGAAAGCCACGGCUAACUACGUG